UACGUAGGGUGCGAGCGUUAAUCGGAAUUACUGGGCGUAAAGCGUGCGCAGGCGGUUCGCUGUGUCCGAUGUGAAAGCCCCGGGCUUAACCUGGGAAUGGCAUUGGAAACUGGCGGGCUUGAGUGCGGCAGAGGGGGGUGGAAUUCCGGCGGUGUGACAGUGAAAUGCGUAGGAGAUGUGGAGGAACACCGAUGGCGAAGGCAGCCCCCUGGGCUAACACUGGACGCCUCAUGCACGAAAGCGUGGGGAG
rnacentral:rRNA from 1 species